rnacentral:rRNA from 1 species
UACGUAGGGUGCAAGCGUUAAUCGGAAUUACUGGGCGUAAAGCGUGCGCAGGCGGUUUUGUAAGUCUGACGUGAAAUCCCCGGGCUCAACCUGGGAAUUGCGUUGGAGACUGCAAGGCUAGAAUCUGGCAGAGGGGGGUAGAAUUCCACGUGUAGCAGUGAAAUGCGUAGAGAUGUGGAGGAACACCGAUGGCGAAGGCAGCCCCCUGGGUUAAGAUUGACGCUCAUGCACGAAAGCGUGGGGAGCAAACAGG